UGAGGACACAGUGAGAAGACGGCCAUGCAUGAACCAGGCAGCGUCCCUCAACUAACACCGAAUCUGUCAGCCCCUUGAUCUUGGACUUCCAGCUCCUAGAACUAUUUUAUUUAUUUAUUCAUGAGAGACACAGAGAGAGGCAGAGACACAGACAGAGGGAGAAGCAGGCUCCCUGCAGGAAGCUCGAUGUGGGACUCAAUCCUGGGACUCCAGGAUCACACCCUGAGCCAAAGGCAGACGCUCAACCACUGAGCCACCAGGUGCCCCUGAACAUCUAUUUCACGACCAAUGUCUGGCGAAACAGAGUAGGUUCCAGGCCCCAUGUAGGACUUGAACCGACAACCUUGAGAUCAAGUGUUGGAUGAUCUAUCAAUGGAGCUAUCCAGG